rnacentral:lncRNA from 1 species
AGAAAACUUAGUAGUCAUUAAUAUCUGCUAUUUGUGGUUUGUUCCUUUAUCUUUUCUCCACACAGGUAGAUGAAGUAAGCUUUGUUGUAGAAGAUUCCAGAGUUUCUUCUUUAAGUGUAUUCUCUUGGAAAAGUAAGACCUGAGUUGAGAUACGCGCUUGCGCACUCAAAAAGUUUACCUGACACUUCAUAUGAAGGUGUGCUGAUACAAGGUAUCUGGAGCAUCUACUCAGCAAAUGGUGGGGCAAGUGUUAACAGUCCUCUGCAUUGAGACCUCAGCUGCACCUACUGAUUGCUGAGAUUUUCAGCCCAGCAGCCCUGGUAUCUUGGGAAAUGUUUUCCUGUUGCACGAAGGAACUCUUCAGUCUUCUAACAAUUAGGCUUGGAACCUGCAGAGCAGCGUCUUCCACUGAAGUGAUAAGUACACUGCUGCUGAGG